rnacentral:rRNA from 1 species
UACGGAGGGUGCAAACGUUGCUCGGAAUCAUUGGGCGUAAAGCGUGUGUAGGCGGUCUGUUAAGUCGGGUGUGAAAGCCCUGGGCUCAACCCAGGAAGUGCAUUCGAAACUAGCAGACUUGAGUACGGGAGAGGGUCGCGGAAUUCCCGGUGUAGAGGUGAAAUUCGUAGAUAUCGGGAGGAACACCUAUGGCGAAGGCAGCUCGCUGGGACGUUACUGACGCUGAGACGCGAAAGCGUGGGGAGCAAACAGG